AGCUACAGGAGGUGCUCAUGAGGAGUUUAUAGAGCAUGGAGAAUUUACAAAUAAUCAUAUAGACUUGAAUGCACAUCCAUUUUCUGAGAGUGGAGCAACACAUGAACAAGAUACAGGAGGUGCUCAUGAGGAGUUUAUAGAGCACGGAGAAUUUACAAAUAAUCAUAUAGACUUGAAUGCACAUCCAUUUUCUGAGAGU